rnacentral:rRNA from 1 species
GCCUCCUCCGCCGGCUACGCCAAGAUCCCCACCUACCCGCCGCCGCCCUCCUCCUCCUACCCCAACCCCAGCCCCGUCCCGCCCGCCGCCCCGGCCCCGAUCCAGGACCCCACGGCGCCGCCCUCCUCGCUCGCCAAGGCGGCCGAGCUCGUCACGCGGUUCCGGGAGCAGGGCCAGGCGCUCAUCGCCGCGCGCCGCCCCUGGGGGGAGGUCUUCCGCUCCCCCGCCUUCUCCAAGCCGCCCAACGUCGGCGAGGCCGUCUCCCGGAUGCGCCGCAACACGGCCUACUUCCGCGCCAACUACGCGCUCGCCGUCCUCGCCGUCGUCGCCGCCUCGCUACUCUGGCACCCGGGCACCCUCUUCGCGCUCCUCGCGCUCUGCGCCGCCUGGUUCUUCCUCUACUUCGCGCGCCCCGCCGAGGGCGCCCAGCCGCUCCGGGUCUUCGGCACCGAGUUCGACGACGGCACCGUCCUCGCCCUGCUCUCCGGGGUCACCGUCAUCGCCAUGCUCUUCACCGACGUUGGCUGGAACGUCGUCGGUUCGGUCAUGAUCGGGCUCGCCCUCGCGGGCGCGCACGCCGCGCUCAGGUCCACCGACGACCUCUUCCUCACCGAGCAGGAGGCGGCCGGCAACGGCCUCGUGGCCGCAGGCUUCAGCGCUGCUGGACCCAUCUUGCCCACCUAUGUCCGCAUUGGUUGAUUGUGCAGUCUGGCUUGGUGUGAUGGUACUCCAAUCUUCUUUGUUGAACAUUCUGGGUUUGUGUUCUUGUUUGCAAUUGUGCACUGGCAAUUCUGUUUCAUAUAUACGGCACAGUAUCUAUUGCUUCGUGUGUUGGCGUGUAAAAAAAACUAGAUUGGCUUGUGAUCUUAGACUCAAUAGUAAAUUAGUAAUGUGUGCAAUCAUACUAUGAACAUGUUAUACACUUUUCUUCUCAACUGAGUGUAAAGCUGCUAUGUUGAUAAUGGCAAUUGCCAUCCUAUUCUUCACUAUAGUUUGCUGCAAAUGCUAAUGUUGAUGUUCUCGUGCAAUUCGCUUUGUGAAUUUCGCACCUCCUUGUGAUGGAUCAAUCCGCAGAAACCUGUGUUUCUAGAUCUUAGAUUGCCAUGGCAAUGCAAAAAUGCCAAAAACACGUAUAUUCCUGUGUUUCUACUUUCUAGACGAUAGAUUGAUGUCAUCAAGACAUAUGUUCCUGUGUUUGUAGAUGAUAGAUUGCCAUGACAAUGCAAAAGAUGUCAUCAACACAUAUGUUCAUGUGUUUGUUGAUGAUAGAUUGCCAUGACAAUGGAAAAGAUGCCAUCAACACAGCAACCCUGUGUUUCUAGAUGACAGAUUGCGAUGGCAAUGCAAAAGAUGCCAUCAAUACAGCAAUCCUGUGUUUCUAGAUGGCAGAUUGCGAUGGCAAUGCAAAAGAUACUAUCACCACAUAUGCUCGUUAAUGGUUUAUAACGAUCGCUGUAGGCUGCAGCUGAAUGCAUAUUGUUGCUUUCCCUUCAUUUGCCUUUCCUUGACUGAGCAGAGAUGCUGACAAAGGGCUUACGACAGCCGGUAUCAGUGCUCCUGUACCCAUCCUGCCCAGCUACGUCUGUAUUGGUUUGUUGAACAUUGUCGGUUUGUAUUCUUGUUUGCAAUUGUGCAUUGGCAACUCUGGUUCAUAUAUACGGUACAGUAUCUAUUGGUUCGUGUGUUGGCAUGUAAAAAACCUAGAUUGGCUUGUGAUCUUAGACUCAAUAGUAAAUUAGUAAUGUGUGCAAUCAUAUUAUGAACAUAUUAUACACUUUUCUUCUGAACCGAGUGUAAAGUUGUUAUGUUGAUAAUGGCAAUUGCCAUCCUAUUCUUUACUACGUAGUUUGCUGCAAAUGCUAAUAUUGAUGUUCUUGUGCAAUUCGCUUUGUGAAUUUCACAUCUCCUUUGCGAUGGAUCAGUCUCCAGAAUCCCGCGUUUCUAGAUGUUAGAUUGCCAUUAACACAUAUGUUCCCGUGUUUCUAGACGAUAGAUUGAUGUCAUCAACACAUAUGUUCCUGUGUUUGUAGAUGAUAGAUUGCCAUGAGAAUGCAUAAGAUGCCAUCAACGCAGGAAUUCUGUGCUUCUAGAUGGUAGAUUGCCAUGGCUCUUUUAAUCUCUUUAAUGAUUUAAUGAUUGCUGUAGGCUGCAGCUGAAUGCAUGUUGUUGCUCUCCUUCAUUUGCCUUUUUUCUUGACCGAGCAGGAGACGCUGGCAAUGUGCUUAUGGCAGCUGGUAUCAGUGCCGCGGUACUGAUCGUGCCCACCUACGUUUGUAUUGGUUGAUUGGGCAUCCCUUGCACCCAGUCUUUGUUCAAUAUUCUUGCUGUUCUUUGUUUGCAAUUGUGAAUUGGCAAUUCUGUUUUAUAUAUGGCACAGUAUCUAUUCGUUUGUCCGAUGGCUGUGUAAAAAUACUAGAUUGGUUUGUGAAGUUAAGACUCG